rfam:Acyrthosiphon pisum strain LSR1 Contig25891, whole genome shotgun sequence.
UAAAAGGCCCUUUUCAGGGCCAACACUCACCCAACAUCGACACUUGU